GCAAGUCGAGCGCUACCUUCGGGUGGAGCGGCGGACGGGUGAGUAACGCGUAGGAAUCUACCCAGUAGUGGGGGACAACAUGGUGAAAACCAUGCUAAUACCGCAUACGCCCUAAGGGGGAUAGCGGGGGAUCUUCGGACCUCGCGCUAUCGGAUGAGCCUGCGUUGGAUUAGCUAGUUGGUGAGGUAAAGGCUCACCAAGGCGACGAUCCAUAGCUGGUCUGAGAGGAUGAUC
rnacentral:rRNA from 1 species